rnacentral:snRNA from 1 species
CCACCUUCAUAGACGGGGUCAAUGGGUGAUCAAAAAGACUCAAAGCCUAGGGUGGUGACCUCCAUUGCACUUGGUAGGAUUGCCUUCCUAAGGACGAUCCAAGUGGUCGUUCCUACGUCCUAAUUUUUUACAGUGGGGGCCUGCAUUUGCAUGGCCCCUA